GAUGAACGCUGGCGGCGUGCCUAAUACAUGCAAGUCGAGCGAACAGACGAGGAGCUUGCUCCUCUGACGUUAGCGGCGGACGGGUGAGUAACACGUGGAUAACCUACCUAUAAGACUGGGAUAACUUCGGGAAACCGGAGCUAAUACCGGAUAAUAUAUUGAACCGCAUGGUUCAAUAGUGAAAGACGGUUUUGCUGUCACUUAUAGAUGGAUCCGCGCCGCAUUAGCUAGUUGGUAAGGUAACGGCUUACCAAGGCAACGAUGCGUAGCCGACCUGAGAGGGUGAUCGGCCACACGGGAACUGAGACACGGUCCAGACUCCUACGGGAGGCAGCAGUAGGGAAUCUUCCGCAAUGGGCGAAAGCUUGACGGAGCAACGCCGCGUGAGUGAUGAAGGUCUUCGGAUCGUAAAACUCUGUUAUUAGGGAAGAACAAAUGUGUAAGUUACUAUGCACGUCUUGACGGUACCUAAUCAGAAAGCCACGGCUAACUACGUG
rnacentral:rRNA from 1 species